CGGAGGAUGAGAGAGAUUUAGAAGAGAAAGAAAAGAGAACAAGAGGAAAGAUAAGAGAAACUAGGGAAAUGUAAUCGAGUGUCCACAUUGUAGAGUAGAUUUGGUAUAUUUUUU
rnacentral:ribozyme from 1 species